AGUGAACGCUGGCGGCGUGCUUAACACAUGCAAGUCGAACGAGAACGGAUUAUAGCUUGCUAUAAUUGUCAGCUAAGUGGCGCACGGGUGAGUAAUGUAUAGGUAAUAUGCCUCUUACUAAGGGAUAACAAAUGGAAACGUUUGCUAAUACCUUAUACUCCUUAUUAACAGAAGUUAAUAAGGGAAAGUAUUUAUUGGUAAGAGAUUAGCCUGUAUUGUAUCAGUUAGUUGGUGGGGUAAUGGCUUACCAAGACUAUGACACAUAACUGGUUUGAGAGGAUGAUCAGUCACACUGGAACUGAGACACGGUCCAGACUCCUACGGGAGGCAGCAGUGGGGAAUAUUGCACAAUGGACGAGAGUCUGAUGCAGCAACGCCGCGUGGAGGAUGACACAUUUCGGUGCGUAAACUCCUUUGAUAUGAGAAGAUAAUGACGGUAUUAUAUGAAUAAGCACCGGCUAACUCCGU
rnacentral:rRNA from 1 species